GGAACUCAGGAGAGAAAGGUCUCAGCUGUAAAGAUCAGCAAGGCUUGCUGAGAAGAGGGCUGGCAACAGAGAACACCUGUGAAAGUAUCAUUUAAGAGUCUGCAGUGUGUUACCUGAUUGCUGGCUACAACUUCUGUAUCCAUGCCAAGACCUUGGACCUCUGUGCACUCUUGGAAUAUUGGACUGCUUUCAGAUUUCAGCUCUGGGCUUGUGUACUCAACCUUGUUGUUUAGAUUGGCUCCUGAACCUGGACUUAAUCACUUGCUGUUUUAAUUUACCUCCAAUAAAUCUUAUCUCACAGAGGAGAUAUGUGUCAUUGUUCUGUACCAAAUGAAAUCUUGGAGGAGUCCUGGAACUGGAGAUAUUUCCAACUUAGAACAGUACCCAAGUGUCUACCGGAGAGUUCAAAGGACUCCUUCCUGCCUCCGCAAUGACCAUCUCAACAUUCUUGGAGCCAAUCUGGCAUUCACCACUCUCUACUGGCCCCAGGAUAAAUGGUUUGUGUAGGUUCACCCCCAGUUGUUGAUUUAUUUAAACCUCUGAGUUUGUCUUGUAAAUUAAUUUUAUCUGGACCUAGAAAUAAAUUUUGUAAAUGAUGUGGGAGUUUUGGUUCCCCAGUUUAAAAAAUGAGAAAACUGAUCAACAAAUAGAAGAUGGCAUAAGAAUCAUACCAUUCAAUUACAGUUGUAUUAUCACUGCUGGUGAUACAUGCUAUGUUGG
rnacentral:lncRNA from 11 species